CCUGGUUGAUCCUGCCAGUGGUCAUAUGCUUGUCUCAAAGAUUAAGCCAUGCAUGUCUAAGCAGAAGCCGCACAACGGUAAAGCCGCGAAUGGCUCAUUACAACAGCCGUCGUUUCUUGGAUCUCUUAAUUUACUUGGAUAACUGUGGUAAUUCUAGAGCUAAUACACGCACUAAAGCUCUGACCUUACGGGACGAGCGCAUUUAUUAGAACAAAACCAAUCGGGUUUCGGCCCGUCUGUUGGUGACUCUGAAUAACUCUGCCGAUCGCACGGUCUCGCACCGGCGACGUAUCUUUCAAGUGUCUGCCUUAUCAACUUUCGAUGGUAGUUUAUGUGCCUACCAUGGUUGUAACGGGUAACGGAGAAUAAGGGUUCGACUCCGGAGAGGGAGCCUGAGAAACGGCUACCACAUCCAAGGAAGGCAGCAGGCGCGCAAAUUACCCACUCUCGGCACGAGGAGGUAGUGACGAAAAAUAACGAGACGGAUCUCUUUGAGGCCCGUUAUCGGAAUGAGAACAAUUCAAAUCCUUUAACGAGGAUCUAGCGGAGGGCAAGUCUGGUGCCAGCAGCCGCGGUAAUUCCAGCUCCGCAGGUGUAUAUCUAUGCUGCUGCGGUUAAAAAGCUCGUAGUUGGAUCUGCGUGCUCGGAACCGGUUGGCUCACUGAGUUCAAACUGGUCUCCGGCGCUUUAUUGGCUGGUUUUCCCUUGAUGCUCUUAACCGGGUGUCUUGGGUGGCUAGCACGUUUACUUUGAAAAAAUUAGAGUGCUCAAUACAGGCGCAAAGCCUUGAAUAGUGGUGCAUGGAAUAAUAGAAUAGGACCUCGGCUCUAUUUUGUUGGUUUUCGGAACACGAGGUAAUGAUUAAGAGGGACAGACGGGGGCAUUCGUAUUGCGACGUUAGAGGUGAAAUUCUUGGAUCGUCGCAAGACGGACGACUGCGAAAGCAUUUGCCAAGAAUGUUUUCAUUAAUCAAGAACGAAAGUUAGAGGUUCGAAGGCGAUCAGAUACCGCCCUAGUUCUAACCGUAAACGAUGCCAACUAGCGAUCCGCUGGCGUUAAACAACGACCUAGCGGGCAGCUUCCCGGAAACGAAAGUGUUCAGGUUCCGGGGGAAGUAUGG
rnacentral:rRNA from 1 species